rnacentral:lncRNA from 1 species
GGAAACGGUAGCCAUGGCAACGUGUUCUUCACCCUUUCCCAUCUAUGCCUGGGGUUUCGUUGGAAGUGAUUCCAGCACGACUUUCGCGGCCAGCUUUCUCGUGUGGCGGCGCUUCUCGGAAAGAAGAAACACACGAGAGAGUCCUAACUUAAACUGGAUUGUUUUUCAACUCUGAUCUGUCCCCUGGUUGGCAUCUCUCACCUUCCA